UUCAGUUUCAUGCCUGGGGCGUUUUGUCACUUUCUCUCCUAGAGUUGUAAAACUUAUCUUUCUGCAAAAGAAUUGUGGGGGAAAUAUGUUAUAUUUUAACAUUCUAAUAAGAUGUUUUAGACUAUCAGGCAUAGUUUUGUAGUUACUGAGUCUGAAAAAAAUAAGAAAAUCUUUAUUUUCUCAAAUACCCAUUUUCAUUGGUUUCUCCCUAGAGUUUGGUUUUUGUGACUGCCAUCUCAUGUACUUUUCUAUAUAGAAAAGAACGCUUUGAGGUAUGUAAUCAUGUCCUUCUGGAGAAUUUUACCUAACCAAAUGCAAACUCCUUGACCAAGAACACAUAUAAAGUAAACUCUGGGUAUAUUUGCAAGAUCGUCCUUUAAUUUGUGCUCCAAAGACAGAAGAUUAUCCUAUUCUGAUGUGAUGAGGCUUUAAAAGCUUCAAGACUAGUAAGGAAAUGGAAAUGUCAGAACACAGUAGCUGGGUUGCUAAGGUGUGUGGAACAAAAUAAGACAUCUACGCAUUGAAAGGGAGAUUGUCAUCUAGAAAGACAAUGGAAUUCAUCCCAUUAAUGGAAAUAUGUAAUUAACAAGCUGCUGGUGUCAGUCUGUAGUGAGAACCCUGGCUUGGGCUCUUGCCUCCUAUAGAGUGGCAGUCUUGUCAACGUCUUCUGGCUCCUUGUGGGGGCGGCACAGAUACAAGUGCAAAGAGGAAAUCAGCCUCCCCACUUUCAUGGAAUCUUAGAUGUUUGAGACUACAUUCCAAGGAGAUGGACGAUUGAAUAAAGAGCACCGUAACGCAUCCUCGUGAUUAUUCAGAUGUCACUCUAAAAUAUUUAUCAUCUUGGUAAGUCUAAAGCCAUCGCAACAGCUCAUAUGCAACCAUGAAUAUCAUACUAACACCAC
rnacentral:lncRNA from 1 species